CCUGCUGAGUGGAUUCCCUGGCUGCAGUUCACUCACAUCUAUCAUCAGGAGCUCUUUUCCUCUCCAUUAUGAUCCAUCGGGACACCUCUCUUUGAUACACCUUUUCUUCUUAGGUCCUGAGAAUCACCAUGGAAACAGACCUCUGGAGAGGUGUCUGCCUGCACAAGUUUAACUUAAAGAGGAAGCUGCAUCCUGAAGACAGUUGGCAUAAUCCUACAGGCUGGGGUCCUGGACAGAAAACAAAAAUAAAAGGGAAACGAACAUAGCCUUCAUCUCUUUCGGCUUCCUGACUUCGAACAAGAUAGCAUUAGCUGUCUCAAGCUCCAGUCCCCAUGGCUAUCUCACCACAAUGGACUGUGUCCUCAAAGUAGGCAUGAAGAGGACAUCAGAGCUGCUGGAGCUGAAGCUAUGGCUCGUUGUGAACCUACUGACACAGCUUCUCUUUUGGGAAUCCAACACCGAUCUACUGGAAGAGGAGCAGGCGCUAUCCUUCCAUUCACAUCUUGUGGUCUUGACAUCAACUGCUCACUAGGGAAUGAGUCUUAUCCACUCUUUCACUGUUGUGAAUUUUGCGGUUAUGAAAAGGUAUCAAUCACAGGCCACAGUUCUGCUGUGAGUUUGUAUAAAAAUGGGUUUUCUCUCUCUAAUGUGUAUAUAAGUUUGAAACCCCCUUCAGCCUCCACAAGGAACACACCAGUACUCCUCUAGCUCUACAAUUCAGCCCACACUUCCUCUGGCUCCUGACCUCUGGGAUUUCAAGUGUAUUCUAACUUGUAAGGCUUUGAACUACUUGUCUCUAAUGUAUGAAAUUGAACACUGUUUUGUGUAUGUUAAUAAUUUUGGUAUCUUCUCUUCAAAAUAAAUUAAUUUGCCCAAUUUUUCUGUUGGGUUUUCUGUU